rnacentral:rRNA from 1 species
GACAGAGGGUGCAACGUUGUUCGGAAUUACUGGGCGUAAAGCGUGUGUAGGCGGCCCUGCAAGUCAGGUGUGAAAGCCCCAGGCUCAACCUGGGAAGUGCACUUGAAACUGCUGGGCUUGAGUAUCGGAGAGGUUGGUGGAAUUCUCGGUGUAGAGGUGAAAUUCGUAGAUAUCGAGAGGAACACCGGUGGCGAAGGCGGCCAACUGGACGAAUACUGACGCUGAGACACGAAAGCGUGGGGAGCAAACAGG